rnacentral:rRNA from 1 species
UACGGGGGGGGCAAGCGUUGUUCGGAAUUACUGGGCGUAAAGGGUGCGUAGGUGGCGGGGUAAGUCUGGUGUGAAAUCUCCGAGCUCAACUCGGAAAAGCAUUGGAAACUAUCCCGCUAGAGGGUCGGAGGGGAGACUGGAAUUCUCGGUGUAGCAGUGAAAUGCGUAGAUAUCGAGAGGAACACCAGUGGCGAAGGCGAGUCUCUGGACGACUCCUGACACUGAGGCGCGAAAGCUAGGGGAGCAAACAGG